GAUGAAGCUCAGUGGUAGAGUACUUGACUAGUGUUCACAAGGCCCUGGGUUUGAUACCCAGCAACA
rnacentral:tRNA from 1 species